rnacentral:rRNA from 1 species
UACAGAGGUCUCAAGCGUUGUUCGGAUUCAUUGGGUUUAAAGGGUCCGUAGGCGGUUUUGUAAGUCAGUGGUGAAAGCCCAUCGCUCAACGGUGGAACGGCCAUUGAUACUGCAAGACUUGAAUUAUUGGGAAGUAACUAGAAUAUGUAGUGUAGCGGUGAAAUGCUUAGAGAUUACAUGGAAUACCAAUUGCGAAGGCAGGUUACUACCAAUAUAUUGACGCUGAUGGACGAAAGCGUGGGGAGCGAACAGG